UGGGAGAUCCAAGGACAAAAGCACUCACUUUGGCAGUGUUUGGCAAAGAAUGCCAGCCGUCUUGCACUGAGUACUUUUAUAGAGCACAGAACCACACUGUUUCAGCUCACUUCCUCUCCACAGCUUCUUGAGAGAAGAGGGCAAGAGCUCUUACCAUGUCCAUUUGACAGAGGAUGAAGCUAAGCCUCAAAGAAGGAAUUGGCGCUUGCCAUGGUUGGGGAUACACUGUGAUGGAUCUGUGACUUGUUCCUCUGAAAGCUGGUCCAAGGUUGUUCGUGUGUGAAUCCGGGGAAUUUAUACAGGCUCUUGGCUGUAAGUAGUUCAGUUUCAUUUUUGAAAUUUAUUACUAACUGCUUAACUGUAGUUGAAGCCUGAGAAUCUUAUCUACAUUGAUAUAACUUAUGCUGUUAGCAUUUCACUAUAUGCAGCUCUUAAUCACUCCCAUGCCCCAUCCUGAGGCUUGAUUUGGUAUAUGUAGUGAUUUAUGUUGUUUUCACAAGAAUAAUAAAUAGGGCUGGCAGUUCAAAGAGAGGACAAUAAGGCUGUAAAUAAAGAAGGGGAGUAAUGCCAUUCAGCCUUAGUUUUACUGAUAUCAUUUUACUUUUCCUGCUAUAUUAUAACUGAUAUUAUCAACCUGUCUGUUUUGUGGAUACUUUUUGCCCUGAUCUUGCCCUGAUUUGCUCAUUUUCGAUUAACAAAUUUAGAAAUAUUAGCAUAACAUAGAAAAAGAACACCUGUCAUAGAGAUACAUUUCCUAUAAAGGUUCAUACUUAUAUGCACAUAAAAUUAUAUAUGAAUGCAGAACAUGUUAUACAAUGAAAAAUAAAAAUGGUCCUGCCUAUGGUAGAAUUACUGCUGUAGAAAGUAGAGGGGAAUUGCAGUGAUAUCUUUGGAAGCAUAGGAAAGACCAUUGAGCAACUCAAAACCAUGCCACAUAAAAAAUAGCUGAAAAAGUGUGAUUUUUCAACUUGAAGAAAAUAGACCCACUGAACUUGAUAUCUGCCUCCAAAUAUGUGAAGUCUGUCCUACAGAAUGAACAGGCUUGUUAGGUAGGGCCCCAGGGGCAGAUAAUGAGUGAUGU
rnacentral:lncRNA from 1 species